rnacentral:rRNA from 1 species
UACGAAGGGGGCUAGCGUUGCUCGGAAUCACUGGGCGUAAAGGGUGCGUAGGCGGGUCUUUAAGUCAGGGGUGAAAUCCUGGAGCUCAACUCCAGAACUGCCUUUGAUACUGAAGAUCUUGAGUUCGGGAGAGGUGAGUGGAACUGCGAGUGUAGAGGUGAAAUUCGUAGAUAUUCGCAAGAACACCAGUGGCGAAGGCGGCUCACUGGCCCGAUACUGACGCUGAGGUGCGAAAGCGUGGGGAACAAACAGG